GUGGGGAAUCUUGCGCAAUGGGCGAAAGCCUGACGCAGCCAUGCCGCGUGAAUGAUGAAGGUCUUAGGAUUGUAAAAUUCUUUCACCGGGGACGAUAAUGACGGUACCCGGAGAAGAAGCUCCGGCUAACUCCGUGCCAGCAGCCGCGGUAAUACGGAGGGUGCAAGCGUUAUCCGGAUUCACUGGGUUUAAAGGGUGCGUAGGCGGUUUUAUAAGUCAGUGGUGAAAUCAACGGGCUCAACCUGUUAACUGCCAUUGAUACUGUAGGACUUGAAUAUGAGAGAGGUAGGCGGAAUGUUGCAUGUAGCGGUGAAAUGCUUAGAUAUGCUACGGAACACCGAUUGCGAAGGCAGCUUACUAUUUCAUGAUUGACGCUGAGGCACGAAAGCGUGGGUAGCGAACAGGAUUAGAAACCCGUGUAGUCC
rnacentral:rRNA from 1 species